UGGAAGGACACACGCACACAUACACACACGC
rnacentral:piRNA from 1 species